rnacentral:rRNA from 1 species
AUGGCCCUUACGACCAGGGCUACACACGUGCUACAAUGGCAUAUACAAAGAGAAGCGACCUCGCGAGAGCAAGCGGACCUCAUAAAGUAUGUCGUAGUCCGGAUUGGAGUCUGCAACUCGACUCCAUGAAGUCGGAAUCGCUAGUAAUCGUAGAUCAGAAUGCUACGGUGAAUACGUUCCCGGGCCUUGUACACACCGCCCGUCACACCAUGGGAGUGGGUUGCAAAAGAAGUAGGUAGCUUAACCUUCGGGAGGGCGCUUACCACUUUGUGAUUCAUGACUGGGGUGAAGUCGUAACAAGGUAACCGUAGGGGAACCUGCGGUUGGAUCACCUCCUU